AACAUGAAAUACUUCAGUAGCAGCCAAUCCAACUAGAUGGCAAUACACUGCCUGCACUCGGAAAACGAAGUCAAAUUUUUAAAAUUUCAGUUCACUCGUUUGUGAAUAUUUCUGACAUGAUUUUAUUAGUGACUAAUUAGGUAACUAAUGAUUAAUUUACUAAUUAAUUGUAUAAUGAACUUUCGGGUAUUCAAUCAAUCGAAAAUAGAGAUUCUAAAUAUCCAAACAAAUGAAAACGUGUACAUUACAACAUGUAGUUAAUUUUGGACCAGGGAAAGGUAGGAAACAAACCACUAAAACAACAUAUUGUCUAGAUUUGGUUUGUUCAUCACAAUUGUACACAAAGUUAAUUUAGCAAUGGAGAAGACAAGAAGACCCUGUACUUAAAAUACUUUUUUAUCUCGCAUAUUCUAUGUUCUGGAAUUAAAUUUUUCAUGAGAAAUCAUAGAGAACAAAAAUUUAAAGAGAAUAUCGAGUAAAAGUUUUGAGAAUGCAAAAAUUUUAGGCAUUUUGUUCAUCUUGCCAUUUUGUAUUAAAAGUGACUCCACAAAGCUGUUCAUUUUGAUGUUACAGAAAAAGCAAGUCCAUCUUCUAUGGUGUACUUUUCAUCUUGGAUGAUUUUGUAGUUAAUUUAAGGGUUGAUUUAAUCAUAAUAAAUGAACAUGGAGAUGACAAAUGAGAAGGAAUUGAAGUAUGGAGAAAUGGAAUUUCCUUAGUGUUUCCACCUCUUAGACUUGGAAAGAGUAAGAAGUGUAAUUAUUUUACCAACUGGAACCUUUUUACAAAUUGGGUGGUAGUUGUACAUUCCAUGUUGGAUGUGAUGGGUUACGAAGCAUGGGCUCUAUCAGCCCUCCUUCCCUCAAGAAAGGAGCAGUACCUAAAGUCCUAAAGGAAAGUGCCUUUUUUUUUCAUUGGGAACAGAGACAGUGUGUUGUUUUUAAAGGAAGGAUUUAAUACAACGAAAAGGUUGACCAACAGAUGAGAAUUGGAAGUUAAUUUUGACCCUAGCAAUGACAAUAAGCGAAGCCUGCAUUGGUAGCUUUCUUUCCGAACUUGUUUUGCUUUUUGCAUGUGUGAAUUUUAAAACGCUACAGUCUACAGCUAAUCAAGAUUGACGAUAAAUUAAGAGUGGAAGAGCGUUCAUUUAAUGAAUACUUAUCAAUAAGAUUUCAUUUUACAGGGACAUUCACUCCAGAAAAUAGCUGUACCUACAGUCUCAAAGAAAGCAUGAUAGUGCAUUUGUUUCAUUUGGAAUGGGGACAGUGUGGCAUUGCUAAAGGAAGGAUUUAUGACAAUGAAUGAACUGAUUAUACAAUAAAAGAGAAGGAAUUGCAGUUAAUUUUGAUGCUACUGAAGUAAUAUAUACUUCUGAUGUCUUCACUUUGCAACAUUAUGGAGUUAAUUUUGAAUUUUCGGGGAAGAGGCAACUGGAAAUUAAUUUGGAAAGGACUGAAACAACAGGUUGUCUGCAGUGGUUUUCCUCUUGGAUUUGGCUUGCCCAUUAAACUUCAACAACAAAAUACUCCUUCCUGCAGUUAAUUAAGAUUAUCGAACAAAUGAGUUCAGUUUAGCUGUACUGAAACGGCCAUGUCUACAUGGGUGUUGUCUUUUCUGGACUUAGUCUUGAUUUGCUAUUUUUGUCUUCACCUCGCAACGUAUGCAGUUAAUUUUCAACCGAUAAGUGGAAGCAACUGGAAACUUAUUUGAACAACAGACUUUCUGCCGUGGUAUUCUGGAUUUGGUUUGCUUUUUACACCUGCAAACAUUGAGAGGUUGCAGUCUACAGUUAAUUAAGAUCGACGCUGGAGAAGACAAAGAUGACCCCGUAGUUGAAA
rnacentral:lncRNA from 1 species